GCUGCCGAUGCGCGGUCCAUCCGUCGGGACCGCCGUCGCUCUCUACACGUGUCCUCGGAGAGGACGCCUGACGCGGGCCAUCGAUUUGCCAUUCGGUCCUUUCCCCGCAAGCACGCGCCGCACCACGCCCUCCGUCCCCGCCCCCGGUCACCGCCCUCUGCCCCUCGCCCUCCUCCCCCACCGCCGGUUGCCGCCCUUGACCGCCACCCCCUCCCGGGCUCCCAACCUCUCGACCCCCUCCGCCGGCAGCCCUCCAACCCCUGUCGUGCGCUCCGCCCCACCACCGGCGGGGAUCCGUCUGGCGGAUUCCCGGUGGUGCUUUUGGUCUGCUCCACCCUCCGGCGCCGUCGUCCGCGCCGAGGUCCUCCAACCGCUGCACCACCGCUGCCUCGCACCAUCCGCCAGCCUCAUUGCCUUCUCCACUCCAUUUUGUCAGAUCCCACAAGCGGUCAUCCUUCACUCCGGAUAAAAUCCAGCGCCGACCAAGCCUUGGCCCUCAGCACCUCCGCUCACCUUUCGCCUCCGCCCUAUUCAUGCACUCCUCCACCUGCCAACCCAGACCCCAAGACACGGCGGCGGCGGCGGCGCGGCCAACCAGUUCUUUCCUCCCUCACCCUCGGCCCCUCAUCAUAGAAACGAGGAUUGUGGCUACGACGGCCUCGCCGGCCUUCCCCUGCCUUGGUGAUGACUCCCAUGGAGAGCUCAACCUCCUAAUCUGGCGCCACAGCGUCCUCCUCCGCAGCUUAUCUGCCUUUGCUAACCCCAGCAAGCACGACCUGGAACACGAGGGCUCCGACGAGGCAACGUGGGAAGGAGCGGCCUUGGGCGGACCAAGUUUUGUCGAUCCGAUGAUGAUGGUAUGCCUAUUAAGGUUUCCAUUUCAAGUUAUGCCAAGUACCACGGUUUGUGCUGCUGUUUAGUUCAUCUUGUGCGCUGCCUUAAAGGGUUAUAACAAACUUUCACGUGCUCUUGGCAGAUCAAUAUAACAGAAGAAGCAAAUACUGAAGACUUUGCAACACACCUUAUGCUCCUGUUGAAUAGCAUCUUCAAGGAUGGAAUGGGCAACCUGGAAUCACACUCACAUUUUCUAUUACUUUUCAUUCUAAUAAAUUCAGAUGUUUUUUCAGUCCAAAAAAAACCCUGCUACUAGAACCAAGCAAAAACAUAUUUCAAUAAUGGUUUUCAUUGUGCUACAUAAACACUCUGCAGGUAUCAGUGCAAUUUGAUUCUAAUGGCAUGAGAUAGGGAGUUUCUGCGCAAUUAGUCCUUGCAUUACGUGACACUACUCUCUUUACCAAGUUUGGAUGUAACAUCAAUAUAAUAGGCUCUGAAUCUUUAAAUAAAACACUGCUGCUGCAAUCAAGAAGUUGACAAAAUUUCACAUAUCCGAAUCUAUAAGCUCUAAAGCUUCCAGGCUUUAGCCUCUGUAUUCCAGUCAGAACUAUCAGAUGUGAACAGCCCUUGUGUGUCAUGUACGGCUCACAUAGAUCAUUCUCCCUGAUCUUUACUUAAUUCCCUUGAUCAUACGUCUUUGUCUGCUAUCAUUUGUGUUUUUAUUGUAGCCUGUUGCAUACCUCUACUCAUCUAUUUUGCUAUAGUUUAUCAUUUCGAAACUCUGCUAUGCGGAUAUCCAGACUGAUGAUUAUAUAUGAAUAUAUCUUCUGUUACCGUUCUGUAGCAAGCAUAGAUAGAAGUUGGUGUAUUUCUUUUUUAUAUGACAUCUACUGUAUUAUUUCUCUUCUUAGACUGAUCCUUUCUUUUUUUCACUUAUUUUCCAGGUUUUGAUUGUUCUGGGUCCUCUGCCAAGGAAAUUAAUUUUUACCAACUAGAUUAUGAAAGUAAGACAUUAUGGAUUUUUUUCAUAUCUUUCUUUGCAGACUUUUACCCCAUGUGAAUUGCAAUUCCAAAGAGCCAGAACAAUGAAUACGUUCCUUUUUUUGGGGGGGAAUUUUAGGUGCAGCCAUGAAAUUGUUUUGUGGUAUUAAUGUUUCGCCUUUGAUUCUAGAAGUUUGCCCUUUGGAUCAAAGGUUCAUUUUCUUUUGUUUUAUUUUCUCAUUGCUGAAUGCUCAUGCAAUUUCUUUGGUUUCUUUAAUAUAUUGAACAACUACAUAUAUGACAUAAUGACAUAAUUUUUUAUCUCCUGUUAUCUCCUUACCAAAAGUAUCAAUAUUGUCUCAUGCCGUAGUAUGUUGUCUCUUCAACAAAUCGAGUACUAUUUUUCAAAUAUAAGGUCAAAAGGAGGUCGGCCAACUAUGAAUGGCAUCCUGUGUAACUUGCAGAUCCCCUAUUUUACCUUUAUUUGUGCUUUUAUUAUUUACCUUUGUAAUUGACCUAUCUUUGUUUUAUCUUUACAAUGAUUGACUGCAUGGCUUGGCAAGAUCUGAGUUCAUUGGCUGUGACCACUUGAUACCGUGUACUAGAUAUGUAUUGAUUUGGCCGGUCAUCUAAAAAAAAUUGCUUUUAAUUAUUUGAACUGCAAGGGUCAGUUUCUGACUGGUGCAGCGAAACAACCGCCACAGGUCAUAUAUACCUUCCCUGCGGGCGCGGCAUUAGCGCGCCAAUAUUCCUAGUAAUAUAAAUAUAUGCUAUCUCAGUUGUAUUCUCAGAUAAUGUUAAUGUGCUGAGAAAAAGGUAUCAUUGUUAUAAUUUUUGUUUUACCGGUCUUGUCAUUCUUCAAUCCAGUGAGUCUUCAGCCGGCCCGACAUAAAUGAAAAUAUGUUAAAUCCA